rnacentral:lncRNA from 1 species
AAAUCCUUAGUGUGAGAACAAAUUCACAAUAAAAAUAAAUUUUAUGAAUUUAUAUAAAUUACAUGAUUAAAAAAAUUAUUAUUAUAUAAACUUAAUAAUAAUAAAAUCAAAUAACAUAAUCAUGCUAAAUGUAUAACUUAAAAUAAGAUAAAUAUUAAAUAUUUAUAUAUCCAAAAUAAGUCUCAAACAAAUUCCCCCAUGUACACCAAAUAACUCUUUAAAUAAAUCAUUUUAG